UACAGAGGUCUCAAGCGUUUGUUCGGAUUCAUUGGGCGUAAAGGGUGCGUAGGCGGCGCGGUAAGUCGGGUGUGAAAUCUUGGAGCUUAACUCCGAAACUGCAUUCGAUACUGCCGUGCUUGAGGACUGGAGAGGAGACUGGAAUUUACGGUGUAGCGGUGAAAUGCGUAGAUAUCGUAAGGAAGACCAGUGGCGAAGGCGGGGUCUCUGGACAGUUCCUGACGGCUGAGGCAACGAAAGGCCCAGGGGGAGCAAAACGGGGAUUUAGAAAACCCCCGG
rnacentral:rRNA from 1 species